ACAGCAAUAUGAAGGCCAGGCUGAAGACUUUGCCGGAUUAGCUGAGAGGUGGUGCAUGGCCGUCGUCAGUUCGUACUGUGAAGCAUCCUGUUAAGUCAGGCAACGAGCGAGACCCACGCCCACAGUUGCCAGCGUACUCUCUGGAGUGACGGGUACACUGUGGGACCGCCGCUGCUAAAGCGGAGGAAGGAAUGGGCAACGGUAGGUCAGUAUGCCCCGAAUAUCCCGGGCUACACGCGAGCUACAAUGGUUGGUACAAUGGGUAUCUACCCCGAAAGGGGACGGGAAUCUCCUAAAACCAAUCUUAGUUCGGAUUGAGGGCUGCAACUCGCCCUCAUGAAGCUGGAAUCCGUAGUAAUCGCGUUUCAACAGAACGCGGUGAAUACGUCCCUGCUCCUU
rnacentral:rRNA from 1 species